rnacentral:misc_RNA from 1 species
UUGGCGGGAUGAAUGUCGCUCGUGUCAAUAUGUGUCACGGGACGCAUGAUUGGCACCGGAGCGUUAUCCGGCAGGUCCGCCGGCUUAAUGAGGAGAAGGGGUUUGCUGUGGCUGUCAUGAUGGAUACUGAGGGGAGUGAGAUCCACAUGGGUGAUUUUGAUGGUGCCGCCUCCGUCAAGGCCGAGGAUGGUGAGAUCUGGACAUUUACUGUCAGGGCUUUGAAGUCACCCCUUCCUGCCUGUACCAUUAACGUGAACUAUGAUGGCUUUGCUGAAGAUGUUAAGGUUGGCGAUGAACUGCUUGUGGAUGGUGGAAUGGUCCGGUUUGAGGUGGUUGAGAAGAUAGGCCCAGAUGUGAAGUGUCGGUGUACUGAUCCUGGGCUAUUGUUACCCCGAGCUAACUUGACUUUUUGGCGUGAUGGUAGUUUAGUUCGAGAGCGUAACGCGAUGCUUCCUACGAUAUCUUCAAAGGAUUGGCUGGACAUCGAUUUUGGGAUUGCUGAGGGUGUAGAUUUUAUUGCUGUUUCAUUUGUCAAAUCUGCCGAAGUCAUUAAUCAUCUCAAGAGCUACAUAGCUGCGCGGUGUCCAGAAAGAACUAUAUCGGUGAUUGCAAA